rnacentral:rRNA from 1 species
UCCUACGGGGGGCAGCAGUGGGGAAUAUUGCACAAUGGGGGAAACCCUGAUGCAGCGACGCCGCGUGAGUGAAGAAGUAUUUCGGUAUGUAAAGCUCUAUCAGCAGGGAAGAAAUACUGACCUUACGGUCAGCAGACGGUACCUGACUAAGAAGCCCCGGCUAACUACGUGCCAGCAGCCGCGGUAAUACGUAGGGGGCAAGCGUUAUCCGGAUUUACUGGGUGUAAAGGGAGCGUAGACGGCAGCGCAAGUCUGGAGUGAAAUGCCGGGGCCCAACCCCGGAACUGCUUUGGAAACUGUGCAGC